GAUGCCAUGUGCGGGAGCUCGGGCGGAACCGGGCUGAGAGGGCGACGGAGCGUCGCCGACCGCUGGAACCUGACCGGGUAAUGCCGGCGUAGGGAGCGACACCUGAUGAGCA
rnacentral:ncRNA from 2 species